UGUAACGGGGCUAAACCAUGCACCGAAGCUGCGGCAGCGACACUGUGUGUUGUUGGGUAGGGGAGCGUUCUGUAAGCCUGCGAAGGUGGCCUGUGAGGGUUGCUGGAGGUAUCAGAAGUGCGAAUGCUGACAUAAGUAACGAUAAAGCGGGUGAAAAGCCCGCUCGCCGGAAGACCAAGGGUUCCUGUCCAACGUUAAUCGGGGCAGGGUGAGUCGACCCCUAAGGCGAGGCCGAAAGGCGUAGUCGAUGGGAAACGGGUUAAUAUUCCCGUACUUGGUGUUACUGCGAAGGGGGGACGGAGAAGGCUAUGUUGGCCGGGCGACGGUUGUCCCGGUUUAAGCGUGUAGGUGUGUGUUCCAGGUAAAUCCGGUUCACUUUAACACUGAGGCGUGACGACGAGGCACUACGGUGCUGAAGCAACAAAUGCCCUGCUUCCAGGAAAAGCCUCUAAGCAUCAGGUAACAUCAAAUCGUACCCCAAACCGACACAGGUGGUCAGGUAGAGAAUACCAAGGCGCUUGAGAGAACUCGGGUGAAGGAACUAGGCAAAAUGGUGCCGUAACUUCGGGAGAAGGCACGCUGACACGUAGGUGAAGUGAUUUACUCAUGGAGCUGAAGUCAGUCGAAGAUACCAGCUGGCUGCAACUGUUUAUUAAAAACACAGCACUGUGCAAACACGAAAGUGGACGUAUACGGUGUGACGCCUGCCCGGUGCCGGAAGGUUAAUUGAUGGGGUCAGCGCAAGCGAAGCUCCUGAUCGAAGCCCCGGUAAACGGCGGCCGUAACUAUAACGGUCCUAAGGUAGCGAAAUUCCUUGUCGGGUAAGUUCCGACCUGCACGAAUGGCGUAAUGAUGGCCAGGCUGUCUCCACCCGAGACUCAGUGAAAUUGAACUCGCUGUGAAGAUGCAGUGUACCCGCGGCAAGACGGAAAGACCCCGUGAACCUUUACUAUAGCUUGACACUGAACAUUGAGCCUUGAUGUGUAGGAUAGGUGGGAGGCUUUGAAGUGUGGACGCCAGUCUGCAUGGAGCCGACCUUGAAAUACCACCCUUUAAUGUUUGAUGUUCUAACGUGGACCCGUUACCCGGGUUGCGGACAGUGUCUGGUGGGUAGUUUGACUGGGGCGGUCUCCUCCUAAAGAGUAACGGAGGAGCACGAAGGUUGGCUAAUCCUGGUCGGACAUCAGGAGGUUAGUGCAAUGGCAUAAGCCAGCUUGACUGCGAGCGUGACGGCGCGAGCAGGUGCGAAAGCAGGUCAUAGUGAUCCGGUGGUUCUGAAUGGAAGGGCCAUCGCUCAACGGAUAAAAGGUACUCCGGGGAUAACAGGCUGAUACCGCCCAAGAGUUCAUAUCGACGGCGGUGUUUGGCACCUCGAUGUCGGCUCAUCACAUCCUGGGGCUGAAGUAGGUCCCAAGGGUAUGGCUGUUCGCCAUUUAAAGUGGUACGCGAGCUGGGUUUAGAACGUCGUGAGACAGUUCGGUCCCUAUCUGCCGUGGGCGCUGGAGAACUGAGGGGGGCUGCUCCUAGUACGAGAGGACCGGAGUGGACGCAUCACUGGUGUUCGGGUUGUCAUGCCAAUGGCACUGCCCGGUAGCUAAAUGCGGAAGAGAUAAGUGCUGAAAGCAUCUAAGCACGAAACUUGCCCCGAGAUGAGUUCUCCCUGAGACUUAGAGUCUCCUGAAGGAACGUUGAAGACGACGACGUUGAUAGGCCGGGUGUGUAAGCGCAGCGAUGCGUUGAGCUAACCGGUACUAAUGAACCGUGAGGCUUAACCUUACAACGCCGAAG
rnacentral:rRNA from 1 species